rnacentral:siRNA from 1 species
AUGUGUAUAGGGAAGCUAAUCGUC